CCUACGGGAGGCAGCAGUAGGGAAUCUUUCACAAUGGGCGAAAGCCUGAUGGAGCAACGCCGCGUGCAGGCUGAAGGCCUUCGGGUUGUACACUGCUUUUAUAAGCGAGAAAUAUGAUGGUAACUUAUGAAUAAGGAUCGGCUAACUACGUGCCAGCAGCCGCGGUCAUACGUAGGAUCCGAGAUUUAUCCGGAGUGACUGUGUGUAAAGAGUUGCGUAGGUGGCAUAGUAAGUAGCUAGUGAAAUCUGGUGGCUCAACCAUUCAGACUAUUAGCUAAACUGCUGAGCUCGAGACCGUUAGGGGUAACUGGAAUUUCUAGUGUAGGAGUGAAAUCCGUAGAUAUUAGAAGGAACACCAGUGGCGAAGGCGGCCUGCUGGACGGUGUACUGACGCUGAGGCUCGAAAGCGUGGGGAGCAAACAGGAGUAGAUACCCCUGUAGUC
rnacentral:rRNA from 1 species